rnacentral:rRNA from 1 species
CCUACGGGGGGCAGCAGUGAGGAAUAUUGGUCAAUGGUCGGGAGACUGAACCAGCCAAGUAGCGUGAAGGAUGAAGGUCCAGAGUGUUGUAAACCUCUUUUGUCAGGGGACAAAGUCCGUCACGUGUCCUGUGUUGUGGGUACCGCAUGAAAAAGGAUCGGCUAACUCCGUGCCAGCCGCCGCGGUAAUACGGAAGGUGCGGGCGUUACCCGGAUUUAUUGGGUUUAAAGGGAGCGGAGGCCGGUUGUUAAGGGGGCGGUGAAAGGCGGGGGCGCAACCCUGGCCCGGCGGUGGACACUGGCAGGCUUGAGUGCGAGGAAAGUAUGCGGAAUUCGGGGUGUAGCGGUGAAAUGCAUAGAUAUCGCGAAGAACUCCGAUUGCGAAGGCAGCAUGCCGGAGCCACACUGACGCUGAAGCACGAAAGCGUGGGUAUCGAACAGGAUUAGAUACCCGUGUAGUC